GACGAACGCUGGCGGCGUGCUUAACACAUGCAGGUCGAACGGAAAGGCCCUGCUUUUGUGGGGUGCUCGAGUGGCGAACGGGUGAGUAACACGUGAGUAACCUGCCCUUGACUUUGGGAUAACUUCAGGAAACUGGGGCUAAUACCGGAUAGGAGCUCCUGCUGCAUGGUGGGGGUUGGAAAGUUUCGGCGGUUGGGGAUGGACUCGCGGCUUAUCAGCUUGUUGGUGGGGUAGUGGCUUACCAAGGCUUUGACGGGUAGCCGGCCUGAGAGGGUGACCGGCCACAUUGAGACUGAGAUACGGCCCAGACUCCUACGGGAGGCAGCAGUGGGGAAUAUUGCACAAUGGGCGGAAGCCUGAUGCAGCAACGCCGCGUGCGGGAUGACGGCCUUCGGGUUGUAAACCGCUUUCGCCUGUGACGAAGCGUGAGUGACGGUAAUGGGUAAAGAAGUACCGGCUAACUACGUG
rnacentral:rRNA from 1 species